GACAUUUCCUUUCAGUCGGAAAUUAGAAACCCUAGCAGAGCUAAACUCGUCCAUUUCGCAUCCCCUCCGACGCGAUUUGGGCUUCGAUUCGGCCGUCUGGUAGAGGAUAUUCGAGGAAGGGUUGAUCGCCGCCGCUCCAUUGCCGGUCGGAAAGUGGAAGGAGAAGCGGAAACUGGGCGGACGUCCCUGCUCAGACAUUUUAUCGGGGACGGACUUUUGUGGGUGAUUUGCUCCUUAUGUUGAAUCUCGUACUUAAAUAUCAGUAUACAAGGCUUAGAUUGUUGUGCUUUU